rnacentral:rRNA from 1 species
AGUGAACGCUGGCGGUAGGCCUAACACAUGCAAGUCGAACGGCAGCACAGUAAGAGCUUGCUCUUACGGGUGGCGAGUGGCGGACGGGUGAGGAAUACAUCGGAACCUACUUUUUCGUGGGGGAUAACGUAGGGAAACUUACGCUAAUACAGCAUACGACCUACGGGUGAAAGCAGGGGAUCUUCGUACCUUGCGCGAUUGAAUGAUCCGAUGUCGGAUUAGCUAGUUGGCGGGGUAAAGGCCCACCAAGGCGACGAACCGUAGCUGGUCUGAGAGGAUGAUCAGCCACAUUGGAACUGAGACACGGUCCAGACUCCUACGGGAGGCAGCAGUGGGGAAUAUUGGACAAUGGGCGCAAGCCUGAUCCAGCCAUACCGCGUGGGUGAAGAAGGCCUUCGGGUUGUAAAGCCCUUUUGUUGGGAAAGAAAAGCAGCAGGUUAAUACCCCGCUGUUCUGACGGUACCCAAAGAAUAAGCACCGGCUAACUUCGUG